rnacentral:rRNA from 1 species
CCUAGUAGCGGCGAGCGAACCGGAAACAGCCCAGCUUGAAAAUCGKGGCGCUCCGUGCCUCGAAUUGUAGUCUGGAGAAGGGUCCUCUGCAGCAGACCGGGCUUAGGUUCCCUGGAAAGGGACGCCGGAGAGGGUGAGAGCCCCGUUCAGCCCGGACCCUGUUGCGUGACGAGGCUCUUUCGACGAGUCGGGUUGCUUGGGAAUGCAGCCUUAAUCGGGUGGUAAGCUCCAUCCAAGGCUAAAUACUGGCGAGAGACCGAUAGCGCACAAGUACCGCGAGGGAAAGAUGAAAAGGACUUUGAAAAGAGAGUCAAAGAGUGCUUGAAAUUGCUGGGAGGGAAGCGAAUGGAUGCUCUGUGUGCCCCCUGGUUGUGUGCGGAACGGCUGGAUGACCGCUGGUCCGCCGACCAACUCAGGGCGGCUCGCUAGCGUGGGGGCCAUCUGCGGGAUAAUGACCGCGGGCCUCGGCCCCGGUUGAUGCCGCGGCUGGCCCCGUGGACYGGGGUGCGCGCCCUCGUCGGCGGCGCGGAAGCGCCUGCGCGCCCCGGACGCUGGUGCCUUGGGCGUUCCAUCCGACCCGUCUUGAAACACGGACCAAGGAGUCUAACAUGUAUGCGAGUCUGCGGGUGUCAAACCCGGCAGGCGCAAGGAAACUGAUUUGUGGGAUCCCCUCAAGGGGUGCACCACAGACCGACCUUGAUCUUCUGUGAAAGGUUCGAGUGCUAGCAUACCUGUUGGGACCCGAAAGAUGGUGAACUAUGCCUGAGCAGGGCGAAGCCAGAGGAAACUCUGGUGGAGGCUCGCAGCGAUACUGACGUGCAAAUCGUUCGUAUGACUUGGGUAUAGGGGCGAAAGACUAAUCGAACCAUCUAGUAGCUGGUUCCCCCCGAAGUUUCCCUCAGGAUAGCUGGAGCUCAGUUCGCGAGUUUUGUCGGGUAAAGCGAAUGAUUAGAGGCAUCGGGGGUUAAUAACCCUCGACCUAUUCUCAACUUUAAAUAGGCAAGG